rnacentral:lncRNA from 10 species
CACACACUCUGGUUAUCUCACCCUCCACCCCCUAUCCAUUUGGCAUCUCCCUCUGAGCUGGAUCAUCUCAGCGACUCUCCACAUGCUCAAAUCUUUCCCAUUAAAAAAUGAUCACAAACAAAACCUCUCCUGCUAUUGUUCUCUCUUCUCUUUCCCCUUCACUGGCAAACUUCUGGAAGGAGUGGUUGCUAGACGAUUCUACUUCUGGCUCUCCCUGCCUCUCUCCUACCUGACACUGCUCCAUCAUGUGCCAUCCCAGCACCUGCUUCUGUCACCAAUGAGCUCAUUUGGCAAGCGUGAAUUACACAGUGAUUUUGAAGCUUAUCUGUGCUGUGAAAAAAAAUACAGUAGCUGCAUCCUUCUGGUCCUGGCCCUUCAUCGCUAGCAUUUCCCAAGGCUCCUGAGCAGGCUUUCUCCUCUCUGGAGCUCCACCUUGCCCCACGUGAGCUCACCUACAGCUCCCAGCAUCUCUUCCAUGCUCCAACUCAUAGGUAAGUACCAGGACCCCAGGCUCUUGUCUGAGCUCACUCCAGACCCACCAAACCUAAUGCCUCUCAGGCCUUUCCUCUUGGGUAUCUCAGAGGCACAGCAGACUCAACGCAUCCAAAUUGUAACUCACGAUGUCCCUCCACCCACCCUGCCCCAUAUCGUCCCCACCUAAUCUCACUGGCCCUCGUCCAACACUCCUCAUCACCACAUCAGGCAAGUCAGAGACUAGGGCAUGCUCCAUACCACCUCCUUCUCUCUUAUUCCUCGUGUGGAACCCUUGCUGAGUCUUGUUGCUUACAUGCCUCACGUAGCUCUUUUUAAAAAAAAUCUAUAAAGAAAAUAGGUUUAUUUGGCUCACAGUUCUUCAGGCUGUACAAGCAGCAUGGUGCCAGCAUCUGCUUCUGGUGAGGACUCAGGAAAUUUCCAAUCAUGGUGUAAGGCGAGGGGGAAGCCCAUAUCCCAUGGCAAGAGCAAGCAAGAAAGAGAGAAGGUAAGUGCCAGCCUUCUUUAAACAACCUCUCAUGUGAACUAGCAGAGGGAGAACUCACUCGUCAUUAUGAGGAAGGCACCAAGCCACUCAUGAGAGAUCCGCCCCCAUGACCCAAACACCUCCGACCAGGCCCCACCACUAACACUGUGGAUCACAUUUCGACAUGAGAUUUGGAGGGGACACAUAUCCAAACCAUAUCAUCCCACUCCUGGUCCCCCAAAUCUCAUGUUCUUCUCACGUUGCAAAAUACAAUAAUCUCUUCCCAAUAGUCCCUAGAAGUCGUAACUUGUUCGAGCCUCAACUUAAAAGUCCCAAGUCCAAAGUCCAAAGUCUUGUCUGAGACUCAAGGCAAAUUCCUUCCAGCUGAGCCUGUAAAAUCAAAAGCAAGUUACUUACUUCCAAGAUACAAUGGUGGUGCAGACAUUAGAUAAACGUUCUC